GCCGAGCGGCGAGGCCGAUGGCAGACACGGUCAACAUUCCGUGACUACCGCCAUCAGUGAUGUCCUGACGGAGCAGUGACACCUCCGCGCCCUGACGGAAUAGGGCGUUGAAGGGCGUAGGCUAUGAUGAUGCCAGGCAAAUCCGGCAUCAGAGCUGAAACCUGAAAGUACGGGGUCCCCUUCGGGGGAACCUGAGAGCGAGGGUAACCAUACUCCCGAGAAAAUGGGCUAAACUCAUGUUGGCGGUACCCGUACCGCAAACCGACACAGGUAGUUGGGUAGAACAUACUAAGGCGUUGAGAGAUUCAUGGCUAAGGAACUAGGCAAACUGACCCCGUAACUUCGGGAUAAGGGGUCCUCACCUCCGGGUGAGGCGCAGAGAAUAGGUCCAGGCAACUGUUUAACAAAAACACAGGGCUGUGCGAACUCGAAAGAUGAAGUAUACAGCCUGACACCUGCCCGGUGCCGGAAGGUUAAGAGGAGAUGUCACCGCAAGGGAAGCAUUGAAUUGAGGCCCCGGUAAACGGCGGCCGUAACAAUAACGGUCCUAAGGUAGCGAAAUUCCUUGUCGGGUAAGUUCCGACCUGCACGAAUGGUGUAAUGAUCCGGACGCUGUCUCGGCCAUGAGCUCAGUGAAAUUGUAGUAUCGGUGAAGAUGCCGAUUACCCGCGAUGGGACGAAAAGACCCCGUGAACCUUUACUACAGCUUAGCAUUGACCUUGGUCAUCCGAUGUGUAGGAUAGGCCGGAGGCUUCGAAGCGGCGUCGCCAGGCGUUGUGGAGCCAUCCUUGAAAUACGGCCCUUUGGCUGUCUGAGGUCUAACGCGGAUAGUCGCGGACACUGCUUGGUGGGUAGUUUGACUGGGGUGGUCGCCUCCAAAAGCGUAACGGAGGCUUCCAAAGGUGCCCUCGGGCCGUUUGGUAAGCGGCCUUCAAGAGUGCAAUGGCAAAAGGGCGCUUGACUGGGAGGGAGACAUCCCGAGCAGGCAGGAAACUGGGGCAUAGUGAUCCGGCGGAUGUGUAUGGAAACUCCGUCGCUCAAAGGAUAAAAGGUACUCCGGGGAUAACAGGCUGAUCCCCCCCAAGAGCUCAUAUCGACGGGGUGGUUUGGCACCUCGAUGUCGGCUCGUCACAUCCUGGGGCUGGAGAAGGUCCCAAGGGUUGGGCUGUUCGCCCAUUAAAGUGGCACGCGAGCUGGGUUCAGAACGUCGUGAGACAGUUCGGUCUCUAUCUAUCGUGGGCGCAGGAGUUUUGAGUGGUGCUGUCACUAGUACGAGAGGACCGUGACGGACAGACCUCCGGUGUACCGGUUGUGCCGCCAGGCGCACCGCCGGGUAUCCGCGUCUGGAUCGGAUAAGCGCUGAAAGCAUCUAAGUGCGAAGCUUUCCACGAGAUUAGAACUCCAUUGAGGGUCGUCGCAGACGACGACGUUGAUAGGGCGCAGGUGUAAAGACGGCGACGUCAAAGCCGAGCGCUACUAAUUGCCC
rnacentral:rRNA from 1 species